rnacentral:rRNA from 3 species
UGCUGGAGGUAUCAGAAGUGCGAAUGCUGACAUAAGUAACGAUAAAGCGGGUGAAAAGCCCGCUCGCCGGAAGACCAAGGGUUCCUGUCCAACGUUAAUCGGGGCAGGGUGAGUCGACCCCUAAGGCGAGGCCGAAAGGCGUAGUCGAUGGGAAACGGGUUAAUAUUCCCGUACUUGGUGUUACUGCGAAGGGGGGACGGAGAAGGCUAUGUUGGCCGGGCGACGGUUGUCCCGGUUUAAGCGUGUAGGUGUGUGUUCCAGGUAAAUCCGGUUCACUUUAACACUGAGGCGUGACGACGAGGCACUACGGUGCUGAAGCAACAAAUGCCCUGCUUCCAGGAAAAGCCUCUAAGCAUCAGGUAACAUCAAAUCGUACCCCAAACCGACACAGGUGGUCAGGUAGAGAAUACCAAGGCGCUUGAGAGAACUCGGGUGAAGGAACUAGGCAAAAUGGUGCCGUAACUUCGGGAGAAGGCACGCUGACACGUAGGUGAAGUGAUUUACUCAUGGAGCUGAAGUCAGUCGAAGAUACCAGCUGGCUGCAACUGUUUAUUAAAAACACAGCACUGUGCAAACACGAAAGUGGACGUAUACGGUGUGACGCCUGCCCGGUGCCGGAAGGUUAAUUGAUGGGGUCAGCGCAAGCGAAGCUCCUGAUCGAAGCCCCGGUAAACGGCGGCCGUAACUAUAACGGUCCUAAGGUAGCGAAAUUCCUUGUCGGGUAAGUUCCGACCUGCACGAAUGGCGUAAUGAUGGCCAGGCUGUCUCCACCCGAGACUCAGUGAAAUUGAACUCGCUGUGAAGAUGCAGUGUACCCGCGGCAAGACGGAAAGACCCCGUGAACCUUUACUAUAGCUUGACACUGAACAUUGAGCCUUGAUGUGUAGGAUAGGUGGGAGGCUUUGAAGCGUGGACGCCAGUCUGCGUGGAGCCGACCUUGAAAUACCACCCUUUAAUGUUUGAUGUUCUAACGUGGACCCGUAAUCCGGGUUGCGGACAGUGUCUGGUGGGUAGUUUGACUGGGGCGGUCUCCUCCUAAAGAGUAACGGAGGAGCACGAAGGUUGGCUAAUCCUGGUCGGACAUCAGGAGGUUAGUGCAAUGGCAUAAGCCAGCUUGACUGCGAGCGUGACGGCGCGAGCAGGUGCGAAAGCAGGUCAUAGUGAUCCGGUGGUUCUGAAUGGAAGGGCCAUCGCUCAACGGAUAAAAGGUACUCCGGGGAUAACAGGCUGAUACCGCCCAAGAGUUCAUAUCGACGGCGGUGUUUGGCACCUCGAUGUCGGCUCAUCACAUCCUGGGGCUGAAGUAGGUCCCAAGGGUAUGGCUGUUCGCCAUUUAAAGUGGUACGCGAGCUGGGUUUAGAACGUCGUGAGACAGUUCGGUCCCUAUCUGCCGUGGGCGCUGGAGAACUGAGGGGGGCUGCUCCUAGUACGAGAGGACCGGAGUGGACGCAUCACUGGUGUUCGGGUUGUCAUGCCAAUGGCACUGCCCGGUAGCUAAAUGCGGAAGAGAUAAGUGCUGAAAGCAUCUAAGCACGAAACUUGCCCCGAGAUGAGUUCUCCCUGAGACUU